rnacentral:lncRNA from 1 species
CUCAUUCUUCUUUUUUUUUUUUGAGACAUAGAACCUUGCUGUCCAUGUGAGGUUCUGAAAGGAGUAAUUUUCUCCAAUGUCUGUCAGCUGGUGACAUCUGAAUGUCCAAGGAGUAACUUGAUGGCAGAGAUACGAAUAGCAAGUCUCGGUGUGGACGUCACCCGUGUGCCAGGGGCCAUGAAGAGUUUGCUUUGCUGAUAGAUGGAAACUUUUACUCAAGGUCCAACCAUAAGUCCGGCAGGGAGGAAAGGUGUAACUCCUGGGAGGAAGCACUGAAGGGUAAGUGGGGUUCCCUCUCCCCUCUCUCUUAGCCUGCAUUAGAGAUUGUGCUGGUA